rnacentral:rRNA from 1 species
GACGAACGCUGGCGGCGUGCCUAAUACAUGCAAGUAGAACGCUGAAGAGAGGAGCUUGCUCUUCUUGGAUGAGUUGCGAACGGGUGAGUAACGCGUAGGUAACCUGCCUUGUAGCGGGGGAUAACUAUUGGAAACGAUAGCUAAUACCGCAUAACAAUGGAUGACACAUGUCAUUUAUUUGAAAGGGGCAAUUGCUCCACUACAAGAUGGACCUGCGUUGUAUUAGCUAGUAGGUGAGGUAAUGGCUCACCUAGGCGACGAUACAUAGCCGACCUGAGAGGGUGAUCGGCCAAACUGGGACUGGGACACGGCCCAGACUCCUACGGGGAGCAGCAGUAGGGGAUCUUCGGCAAUGGGGGCAACCCUGACCGAGCAACGCCGCGUGAGUGAAGAAGGGUUUCGGAUCGUAAAGCUCUGUUGUAAGUCAAGAACGGGUGUGAGAGUGGAAAGUUCACACUGUGACGGUAGCUUACCAGAAAGGGACGGCUAACUACGUG